rnacentral:misc_RNA from 1 species
GAUGAAGAACGUAGCUAAAUGCGAUAAGUAAUGCGAAUUGCAGAAUUCAGUGAAUCAUCGAAUCUUUGAACGCACAUUGCGCCCGCCAGUACUCUGGCGGGCAUGCCUGUCUGAGCGUCAUUUCAACCCUCGCGCCCGGCUUCUGUCGGGGGCGGUGUUGGGGAUCGGCCUCCCGUCUUCCGGGCGGCCGGCCCCUAAAUGGAGUGGCGACCGCGCCGUAGCCUCCUCUGCGUAGUAGUGAAACACUCGCGGGCGGAGAGCGGUGCGGCCCGCCGUAAAACCCCCAACUCUUCUAAGGUUGACCUCAGAUCAGGUAGGAAUACCCGCUGAACUUAAGCAUAUCAAUAAGCGGAGGA